GAGAGCGACUCAGCUGAGUACAAGUUCAGGUUCAUAACAAACCAACCAGGUGGAAGAUUUACUGGUUCACCUGGAGUCACUUUGUCUGUCAGAGGUAACAUUUUUGUUGGAAACCAUAUACAGGUUUCCAGGUGCAGGUGAGCAGCUCAAAAUCAUGCAAGUUUUACAUGUGUACAUGGUCACAGCUUAACUGUCUCAGCAGCUGUCGUCUACGUGAUCAAACCUCCUACAUCUGGUACAAGAAUGGGCAGAAAAUUAAGGAAGCAUCUUCUUAUUCAAACUACCUUUAUCCUCCAGACAGCUAUUCCUGUGCCCUUAAAGGACAUUUUCCUUCUCCAUCAGUGUGUGGCCAUGGUCAUUCAUGCAACAGAGUGACUUACACUGACAGAAGCAUCUGUGCUGUCAAAGGCUCAUCGGUGGA